CCUGCUCUUAGAAGUGCUGCAGGUGUGGCUACUGUGUCCCAUGUGAGUCAGUGGGUGGCAGAGAGGAGAGAAAGGCGAUGUCUAAUCUCAGUGUUCAGACUUAGGAACAUCUGGAUGACAUUCAUCAUUUCCUAACAUU
ensembl:snoRNA Gm23582 predicted gene, 23582